rnacentral:sRNA from 1 species
AUAUCAAUAAGCGGAGGAAAAGAAACCAACAGGGAUUGCCCUAGUAACGGCGAGUGAAGCGGCAACAGCUCAAAUUUGAAAUCUGGCUCUUUCAGGGUCCGAGUUGUAAUUUGCAGAGGGCGCUUUGGCGUUGGCAGCGGUCCAAGUUCUUUGGAACAGGACGUCACAGAGGGUGAGAAUCCCGUACGUGGUCGCUAACCUUCGCCGUGUAAAGCCCCUUCGACGAGUCGAGUUGUUUGGGAAUGCAGCUCUAAAUGGGAGGUAAAUUUCUUCUAAAGCUAAAUACUGGCCAGAGACCGAUAGCGCACAAGUAGAGUGAUCGAAAGAUGAAAAGCACUUUGGAAAGAGAGUCAAAUAGCACGUGAAAUUGUUGAAAGGGAAGCGCUUGCAGCCAGACUUGCCUGUAGUUGCUUAUCCGGACUUUUGUCCGGUGCACUCUUCUGCAGGCAGGCCAGCAUCAGUUUGGGCGGUUGGAUAAAGGUCUCUAUCACGUACCUCCCUUCGGGGUUGGCCUUAUAGGGGAGACGUCAUGCAACCAGCCUGGACUGAGGUCCGCGCAUCUGCUAGGAUGCUGGCGUAAUGGCUGUAAGCGGCCCGUCUUGAAACACGGACCAAGGAGUCUAACAUCUAUGCGAGUGUUUGGGUGUCAAGCCCAGACGCGUAAUGAAAGUGAACGGAGGUGGGAACCUUUUAGGUGCACCAUCGACCGAUCCUGAUGUCUUCGGAUGGAUUUGAGUAAGAGCAUGGCUGUUGGGACCCGAAAGAUGGUGAACUAUGCUUGAAUAGGGUGAAGCCAGAGGAAACUCUGGUGGAGGCUCGCAGCGGUUCUGACGUGCAAAUCGAUCGUCAAAUUUGGGCAUAGGGCGAAAGACUAAUCGAACAG